GGAUUGUGGCUCAGUGGUAGAGCGCUUGCCUACCAACAUGCAUGAGGCCCUGGGUUGGAUCCUCAGCACCA
rnacentral:tRNA from 1 species